AUGGCGAGGGGUUUAGUUAGUAAGGGGAAGGGAAUGAGAAGAGGGGGUUCCAAGGAUGUUAGCCUGUUGAGAUUCGAGUUCAUUGAUCUGCUGUUCACGAUCCAUGGCAACGAUGAGAGGGACAACGAGGAUGAGAAAACUGGUUCCGGCGAUCCAUGCUGCCUUGCCGGUGCUGCGGAGAAGCUUCUUUGCGACGAAGACGGCGUCGGAGGCGGCUUCCUUCGUGCGGCGGACUACGGGGGAUUCGGAAACCCUAGACGCCGGUGA